rnacentral:rRNA from 1 species
CCUACGGGAGGCAGCAGUAGGGAAUCUUUCACAAUGGGCGAAAGCCUGAUGGAGCAACGCCGCGUGCAGGAUGAAGGCCUUCGGGUUGUAAACUGCUUUUAUAAGCGAGAAAUAUGAUGGUAACUUAUGAAUAAGGAUCGGCUAACUACGUGCCAGCAGCCGCGGUCAUACGUAGGAUCCGAGCAUUAUCCGGAGUGACUGGGUGUAAAGAGUUGCGUAGGUGGCAUAAUAAGUAGCUAGUGAAAUCUGGUGGCUCAACCAUUCAGACUAUUAGCUAAACUGUUAAGCUCGAGACCGUUAGGAGUAACUGGAAUGUCUGGUGUAGGGGUGAAAUCCAUAGAUAUUAGAAGGAACACCAAUAGCGUAGGCAGGUUGCUGGGACGGUUCUGACACUAAGGCACGAAAGCGUAGGGAGCAAACGGGAUUAGAUACCCCAGUAGUC